rnacentral:rRNA from 1 species
CCUGGCUCAGGACGAACGCUGGCGGCGCGCCUAACACAUGCAAGUCGAACGAGCGAGAGAGAGCUUGCUUUCUCGAGCGAGUGGCGAACGGGUGAGUAACGCGUGAGGAACCUGCCUCAAAGAGGGGGACAACAGUUGGAAACGACUGCUAAUACCGCAUAAGCCCACGACCCGGCAUCGGGUAGAGGGAAAAGGAGCGAUCCGCUUUGAGAUGGCCUCGCGUCCGAUUAGCUAGUUGGUGAGGUAACGGCCCACCAAGGCGACGAUCGGUAGCCGGACUGAGAGGUUGAACGGCCACAUUGGGACUGAGACACGGCCCAGACUCCUACGGGAGGCAGCAGUGGGGAAUAUUGCACAAUGGGGGAAACCCUGAUGCAGCGACGCCGCGUGGAGGAAGAAGGUCUUCGGAUUGUAAACUCCUGUUGUUGAGAAGAUAAUGACGGUACUCAACAAGGAAGUGACGGCUAACUACGUGCCAGCAGCCGCGGUAAAACGUAGGUCACAAGCGUUGUCCGGAAUUACUGGGUGUAAAGGGAGCGCAGGCGGGAAGACAAGUUGGAAGUGAAAUCCAUGGGCUCAACCCAUGAACUGCUUUCAAAACUGUUUUUCUUGAGUAGUGCAGAGGUAGGCGGAAUUCCCGGUGUAGCGGUGGAAUGCGUAGAUAUCGGGAGGAACACCAGUGGCGAAGGCGGCCUACUGGCACCAACUGACGCUGAGGCUCGAAAGUGUGGGUAGCAAACAGGAUUAGAUACCCUGGUAGUCCACACUGUAAACGAUGAUUACUAGGUGUUGGAGGAUUGACCCCUUCAGUGCCGCAGUUAACACAAUAAGUAAUCCACCUGGGGAGUACGACCGCAAGGUUGAAACUCAAAGGAAUUGACGGGGGCCCGCACAAGCAGUGGAGUAUGUGGUUUAAUUCGACGCAACGCGAAGAACCUUACCAAGUCUUGACAUCCUGCGACGCACAUAGAAAUAUGUGUUUCCUUCGGGACGCAGAGACAGGUGGUGCAUGGUUGUCGUCAGCUCGUGUCGUGAGAUGUUGGGUUAAGUCCCGCAACGAGCGCAACCCUUAUGGUCAGUUACUACGCAAGAGGACUCUGGCCAGACUGCCGUUGACAAAACGGAGGAAGGUGGGGAUGACGUCAAAUCAUCAUGCCCUUUAUGACUUGGGCUACACACGUACUACAAUGGCGUUAAACAAAGAGAAGCAAGACCGCGAGGUGGAGCAAAACUCAGAAACAACGUCCCAGUUCGGACUGCAGGCUGCAACUCGCCUGCACGAAGUCGGAAUUGCUAGUAAUCGCAGAUCAGCAUGCUGCGGUGAAUACGUUCCCGGGCCUUGUACACACCGCCCG